rnacentral:lncRNA from 1 species
CCACUUUUCAAGUAAUCAAACAUGGAAAUUGUCGGUAGGGAAAAAAGCUGGUCGAGUAAGCUGGUGUCGGAAAAUCCUCUCGAUAUGUAGAGCUCUAUCUACCUCUAAUGGUAGUUUCCAUCAACCCUAACCCAAUCCCUCUUAACAACCAUCAUCAUCUCUAUACACUACCUAUCCCCAAUUUCUUCCCCACCUCGUACCUUUGUUCCACCAUUUCUUGUUUUCUUUCUCGUAGCGCAACACUGUCGCUUCUCCUUGACUUCAGUUUUAUCGGACGACGAUCAACCCCAAAUCCGCAGUUCCGGCCAUCUCGUUCUCUUCCAUUCUCGUACUUGGAGGGAUUGCAUGGCUUGAUGUCUCCCUCAUUUGGUUCAAAGGUGACUUCUCUCCAACUUUUAUCGAGCUGGGUUUGUUCCAUUCCUUGAAUUGCCCUUGGGUGUGUACCUACAUGCAUCUCGUUUUUGGUUCUGGCAUCAACGUACUUCAGAAUAAUUUUGGUUUGGCAAAACUUGUAUUUCGCCUAUCAAAUGGCUUCAAA